CCGUGUGUAAGUUUGUGUAGUCUGCUACGAUGUUUACAUGGCUCUAAAAGCACAUGAUUAGAGCUUGGGCUUAUCGCGACUUUUUCUACUAGUCAUGGACAAAGAUGAAACAAAUCAGGGUCCUGUUAUAAGUGGUGAAGCAAGCACAUUAUCCACAAAAGAAAAAGAUGAUAGAGCCUUCAAAGCCAAAGCUGCUGCGUUUCUCGCCGGUGUGACUGGUGUCUCAAUUUUGUUUGGGUUUGGAACGACUCUUGCUGCAGCCAAGAAAAAGGAUCCUCAUUUUUUCGAUCAAGGGCUGACCGGACGCUUCGAAAAACAGGGAUCAGAACCAACCACAAGUGAAGCAGCUACAGCAAUGAGGAGGCGUGGCCCCGUAUCGAUUAGAUCUGCUGAACCGGGUGCAUCUUUAGCUAUUCGGGCACUUGGCUGGGGCACUCUCUAUGCGGUGACCGGCUGUUCCGUCCUCUUUUACGGCAUCUGGAAGCUUAUGGCCGUUAAUGACUUGAAAGAGUUUCGACUGAAAGUUGGUGGCUGGUUGCCGGCCAUUCCGCGGAACACGCCACAGGGUCGCACGGAAUUCUCGGGCCUCAAUGAUUUGUUGCAGUACAUUAUCGACGUUGACAAGGAGAAGAAAGCAGCGGCCAAGAAAACUGAUGCCAAAUGAUAGUGUGAUUUAGAAUCAAGUACAGUGAACUCAUACAAACAUCGAGAUAGAAUUUGCACUUAGUGACGCGCGUAUUUUUGAAAGUCAAGGAAACCGUUAGAAGGGAAAAGAAACGCGAAUCUUUGUACACAUACGGGCACCGAUGCAAUAAGGAUUAACAGUUAAGAUGACUGCUUGUGGAACCUUGAAACAAAAAAGAACAAAGCAACAGAGGAUCAUCGAUCUUGAAGAGGGAUCUGAAGAAGAAGG